GGCGGAGUGGUGGAACUGGUAGACGCGCCGGACUCAAAAUCCGGUCCUGGCAACAGGGUGGGGGUUCGAGUCCCCCCUCCGCUACCA
rnacentral:tRNA from 1 species